UACGGAGGGGGCUAGCGUUGUUCGGAAUUACUGGGCGUAAAGCGCGCGUAGGCGGAUCUGCAAGUCGGGGGUGAAAUCCCGAGGCUCAACCUCGGAACUGCCUUCGAUACUGCGGGUCUCGAGUCCGGGAGAGGUGAGUGGAAUUCCUAGUGUAGAGGUGAAAUUCGUAGAUAUUAGGAAGAACACCAGUGGCGAAGGCGGGUCACUGGUCCGGUACUGGACGCUGAGGUGCGAAAGCGUGGGGAGCAAA
rnacentral:rRNA from 1 species